UACGUAGGGCGCAAGCGUUAUCCGGAAUUAUUGGGCGUAAAGAGCUCGUAGGCGGUUGUCGCGUCUGCCGUGAAAGUCCGGGCUCAACUCCGGUAUCUGCGGUGGUACGGGCAGACUAGAGUGAUGUAGGGGAGACUGGAAUUCCUGGGUGUAGCGGUGAAAUGCGCAGAUAUCAGGAGGAACACCGAUGGCGAAGGCAGGUCUCUGGGCAUUAACUGACGCUGAGGAGCGAAAGCAUGGGGAGCGAACAGG
rnacentral:rRNA from 1 species